rnacentral:tRNA from 1 species
GGGGAUGUAGCUCAGUUGGUUAGAGCAGGACUCUUAUAUGGUCAAGGUCGUAGGUUCAAUUCCUACCGUCCCUA